CCUUGAAAUGUGCCUGGGUUUGUGCGUGGGUGUUACACUGAGCUGUGCUGCUGCUCGCAGCGGAGCGGGAUUCAGAGCUGUGUCCCGGGUGGCAUGGGGGGAAUAUUGGCUAUCUGUUCCUCAGCGUGGCUCGCAAAGCGUCGGUGCACCGCGGGGCUACCUCGUGCUCGAAUUUCUUCUCCUAAUUUGAAGGUCUUUCGGUUGUUAAGGGGGGAUUGCUGUGCAGGAGGUGACGUGGGCUUGGCCUCGCGGCGAUGGACGCGGUUGCGUUCUUGCAGGUCCUGAAGCAGCCCGUGGACAUCGCUGUGGCGCGGGAUGUCGCUGCAGGCGCUCGUGAUGGCCUCGGAGGGUGAGGAUCCCCUCUCUGCGUACCGGAGCAAGGGAUCCCAAAACGCAUCCCGCUCAGGAUUCACAGAGAUGCUGCUGAAGGACCCGGAGAGGACGCCCUUUGGAGGAGAAACACUGCAAAAAGCUGCCCGUGGCGUAGCUAUUCAGCACGUGCUGAGGCAGGGACUCCUUUUUGCUCUUCUCAGUCUCGGAAGUGUAAAUACCAGGAAAUAAACCCAACGCGUUUAGCUACAACUUGGAAAGAAACGCUCUCUUGCGAAUUCCGAACUCCCAGUGCGAUUCCUGGGCAGCCAUCCUGAGAUGGGGAGAUUCCUGGGUGCGAGCAAAUACGCUCUGAGCUGCGCGGGCGAGCAAAGAGCCAGCGCUGGGGAAGGUUUCUGG